UACGAAGGGAGCUAGCGUUGUUCGGAAUCACUGGGCGUAAAGCGCACGUAGGCGGCUUUUUAAGUCAGGGGUGAAAUCCUGGAGCUCAACUCCAGAACUGCCUUUGAUACUGGGAAGCUUGAGUCCGGGAGAGGUGAGUGGAACUCCGAGUGUAGAGGUGAAAUUCGUAGAUAUUCGGAAGAACACCAGUGGCGAAGGCGGCUCACUGGCCCGGUACUGACGCUGAGGUGCGAAAGCGUGGGGAGCAAACAGG
rnacentral:rRNA from 1 species